GGCAGCAGCUAAGAAUAUUCCGCAAUGGACGAAAGUCUGACGGAGCGACGCCGCGUGGAUGAUGAAGGCCGGAAGGUUGUAAAAUCCUUUAGCAAGUGAGGAAUAAGCAGAGCAGGGAAUGGCUCUGUGGUGACUGUAGCUUGAGAAUAAGCAUCGGCUAAUUACGUGCCAGCAGCCGCGGUAACACGUAAGAUGCUAGCGUUGUUCGGAAUUAUUGGGCGUAAAGGGCAUGUAGGCGGUUAUUCGAGUCUGGUGUGAAAUCUCGGAGCUUAACUCCGAAACUGCAUUGGAAACUAGAUAACUAGAAUUGCUGAGGGGAAGCCGGAAUUCCAGGUGUAGGGGUGAAAUCUGUAGAGAUCUGGAAGAACACCAAUGGCGAAGGCAGGCUUCUAGCAGAUAAUUGACGCUGAGGUGCGAAGGGACGGGGAGCAAACAGGAUUAGAUACCCUGGUAGUCCGUCCAGUAAACUAUGUACACUAGAUGUCCGGGCAGGAGCUCGGGUGUCGCAGCAAACGCUUUAAGUGUACCGCCUGGGAAGUAUGCCCGCAAGGGUGAAACUCAAGGAAUUGACGG
rnacentral:rRNA from 1 species